GUGGGGAAUAUUGGGCAAUGGGCGCAAGCCUGACCCAGCAACGCCGCGUGAAGGAAGAAGGCUUUCGGGUUGUAAACUUCUUUUACCAGGGACGAAACAAAUGACGGUACCUGGUGAAUAAGCCACGGCUAACUACGUGCCAGCAGCCGCGGUAAUAGGUAGGUGGCGAGCGUUAUCUGGAUUUAUUGGGUGUAAAGGGCGUGUAGGCGGGACAGCAAGUCAGAUGUGAAAACCAGAGGCUCAACCUCUGGCCUGCAUUUGAAACUGUUGUUCUGGAGUGUCGGAGAGGUAAUCGGAAUUCCGUGUGUAGCGGUGAAAUGCGUAGAUAUACGGAGGAACACCAGUGGUGAAGGCGGAUUACUGGACGAUAACUGACGCUGAGGCGCGAAAGCGUGGGGAGCAAACAGGAUUAGAAACCCCGGUAGUCC
rnacentral:rRNA from 1 species